UCUUGAUUUAAUUUUGAACGAGUGGCGGACGGGUGAGUAACACGUGGGUAACCUGCCCUUAAGUGGGGGAUAACAUUUGGAAACAGAUGCUAAUACCGCAUAAAUCCAAGAACCGCAUGGUUCUUGGCUGAAAGAUGGCGUAAGCUAUCGCUUUUGGAUGGACCCGCGGCGUAUUAGCUAGUUGGUGAGGUAACGGCUCACCAAGGCAAUGAUACGUAGCCGAACUGAGAGGUUGAUCGGCCACAUUGGGACUGAGACACGGCCCAAACUCCUACGGGAGGCAGCAGUAGGGAAUCUUCCACAAUGGACGCAAGUCUGAUGGAGCAACGCCGCGUGAGUGAAGAAGGCUUUCGGGUCGUAAAACUCUGUUGUUGGAGAAGAAUGGUCGGCAGAGUAACUGUUGUCGGCGUGACGGUAUCCAACCCAGAAAGCCACGGCUAACUACGUGCCAGCAGCCGCGGUAAUACGUAGGGUGGCCAAGCGUUAUCCGGGAUUUAUUNGGGCGUAAAAGCGAGCGCA
rnacentral:rRNA from 2 species